rnacentral:rRNA from 1 species
GAACGCCUCUAAGUCAGAAUCCAGGCUAGAAGCGGCGCUUGUCCCUCCUCGGCUGUAUCGCGACCCGCAGUAGGGGCGUUUCGGCGUCCCCAGGGGCCCCUGUCAUUGGCAAAACUCCGGACGGUCUAAACCGCCGGUCGGAGCAGCUUUGAAACUCAAUUCCAAACGGUCGGCGAGAAGAAUCCUUUGCAGACGACUUAGAUACGCGACGGGGUAUUGUAAGUGGCAGAGUGGCCUUGCUGCCACGAUCCACUGAGAUUCAGCCCU